ensembl:snRNA U6 U6 spliceosomal RNA
GUGCUCACUUCAGCAGCACAUAUACUAAAAUUGGAACGAUACAGAGAAGAUUAGCAUGGCCCCUGUGCAAAGAUGACACGCAAAUUCGUGAAGCAUUCCAUAUUUUU